GACGGGGGGGGCAAGUGUUCUUCGGAAUGACUGGGCGUAAAGGGCACGUAGGCGGUGAAUAGGGUUGAAAGUGAAAGUCGCCAAAAAGUGGCGGAAUGCUCUCGAAACCAAUUCACUUGAGUGAGACAGAGGAGAGUGGAAUUUCGUGUGUAGGGGUGAAAUCCGUAGAUCUACGAAGGAACGCCAAAAGCGAAGGCAGCUCGCUGGAACGUUACUGACGCUGAGAUGCGAAAGCGUGGGGAGCAAACAGG
rnacentral:rRNA from 1 species